GACGAACGCUGGCGGCGUGCCUAAUACAUGCAAGUCGUACGCUUCUUUUUCCACCGGAGCUUGCUCCACCGGAAAAAGAAGAGUGGCGAACGGGUGAGUAACACGUGGGUAACCUGCCCAUCAGAAGGGGAUAACACUUGGAAACAGGUGCUAAUACCGUAUAACAAUCGAAACCGCAUGGUUUUGAUUUGAAAGGCGCUUUCGGGUGUCGCUGAUGGAUGGACCCGCGGUGCAUUAGCUAGUUGGUGAGGUAACGGCUCACCAAGGCCACGAUGCAUAGCCGACCUGAGAGGGUGAUCGGCCACAUUGGGACUGAGACACGGCCCAAACUCCUACGGGAGGCAGCAGUAGGGAAUCUUCGGCAAUGGACGAAAGUCUGACCGAGCAACGCCGCGUGAGUGAAGAAGGUUUUCGGAUCGUAAAACUCUGUUGUUAGAGAAGAACAAGGAUGAGAGUAACUGUUCAUCCCUUGACGGUAUCUAACCAGAAAGCCACGGCUAACUACGUGCCAGCAGCCGCGGUAAUACGUAGGUGGCAAGCGUUGUCCGGAUUUAUUGGGCGUAAAGCGAGCGCAGGCGGUUUCUUAAGUCUGAUGUGAAAGCCCCCGGCUCAACCGGGGAGGGUCAUUGGAAACUGGGAGACUUGAGUGCAGAAGAGGAGAGUGGAAUUCCAUGUGUAGCGGUGAAAUGCGUAGAUAUAUGGAGGAACACCAGUGGCGAAGGCGGCUCUCUGGUCUGUAACUGACGCUGAGGCUCGAAAGCGUGGGGAGCAAACAGGAUUAGAUACCCUGGUAGUCCACGCCGUAAACGAUGAGUGCUAAGUGUUGGAGGGUUUCCGCCCUUCAGUGCUGCAGCUAACGCAUUAAGCACUCCGCCUGGGGAGUACGACCGCAAGGUUG
rnacentral:rRNA from 1 species